rnacentral:piRNA from 1 species
UUGAAUUCACUGGAUACGGUCC